AUGUUCUCGCCGCCGGAGAUGAUCACGUCCUUGGACCUGUCCUUGAUCUCGAUGUACCCGUCCGGGUGCACCACGCCGACGUCGCCCGUCAUGAACCACCCGCCCCUGAACGCCUGCGCGUUCGCCUCCGGGUUGUUGAGGUACCCCUUCAUGAUGCUGCUGCCUCGGAGCACGAUCUCGCCCAGCGUCUUCCCGUCGCGCGGCACCCUGGCCAUCGCGUCGUCGUCGGUGACGACGUCGGCGUCGGCGAGUGACAGGACGCUGACGCCCUGCCGGGCCUUGAGGCGCGCGCGCUCCGAGAUGGGCAGGUUGUCCCACUGGGCGCGCCACUCGCACGCCAGCGCGGGGCCCGUGGCCUCGGUGAGCCCGUAG
rnacentral:rRNA from 1 species